rnacentral:rRNA from 1 species
CGUGAGCAACCUGCCCCUGACUCUGGGAUAAGCGGUGGAAACGCCGUCUAAUACCGGAUACGACCCACCACCUCAUGGUGGAGGGUGGAAAGUUUUAUCGGUCAGGGAUGGGCUCGCGGCCUAUCAGCUUGUUGGUGGGGUAACGGCCUACCAAGGCGAUUACGGGUAGCCGGCCUGAGAGGGCGACCGGCCACACUGGGACUGAGACACGGCCCAGACUCCUGCGGGAGGCAGCAGUGGGGAAUAUUGCACAAUGGGCGAAAGCCUGAUGCAGCGACGCCGCGUGGGGGAUGACGGCCUUCGGGUUGUAAACCUCUUUUACCACCAACGCAGGCUCCACGUUCUCGUGGGGUUGACGGUAGGUGGGGAAUAAGGACCGGCUAACUACGUGCCAGCAGCCGCGGUAAUACGUAGGGUCCGAGCGUUGUCCGGAAUUAUUGGGCGUAAAGAGCUCGUAGGCGGCAUGUCGCGUCUGCUGUGAAAGACCGGGGCUUAACUCCGGUUCUGCAGUGGAUACGGGCAUGCUAGAGGUAGGUAGGGGAGACUGGAAUUCCUGGUGUAGCGGUGAAAUGCGCAGAUAUCAGGAGGAACACCGGUGGCGAAGGCGGGUCUCUGGGCCUUACCUGACGCUGAGGAGCGAAAGCAUGGGGAGCGAACAG